rnacentral:piRNA from 1 species
UACAAAAAGUGUACAGAUUGA